rnacentral:tRNA from 11 species
UUCUGGCGCAUCGGUUAGAACAUCGGCCUUCUGACCAGACGGUCGGUGGAUCGAAACC